rnacentral:rRNA from 1 species
CCUACGGGAGGCAGCAGUGGGGAAUAUUGGACAAUGGGGGGAACCCUGAUCCAGCCAUGCCGCGUGUGUGAAGAAGGCCCUCGGGUUGUAAAGCACUUUCAGUGAGGAAGAACGCCUGGUGGUUAAUACCCAUCAGGAAAGACAUCACUCACAGAAGAAGCACCGGCUAACUCCGUGCCAGCAGCCGCGGUAAUACGGAGGGUGCGAGCGUUAAUCGGAAUUACUGGGCGUAAAGCGCGCGUAGGUGGCUUGAUAAGCCGGUUGUGAAAGCCCCGGGCUCAACCUGGGAACGGCAUCCGGAACUGUCAAGCUAGAGUGCAGGAGAGGAAGGUAGAAUUCCCGGUGUAGCGGUGAAAUGCGUAGAGAUCGGGAGGAAUAUCAGUGGCGAAGGCGGCCUUCUGGACUGACACUGACACUGAGGUGCGAAAGCGUGGGUAGCAAACAGGAUUAGAUACCCGAGUAGUC